rnacentral:rRNA from 1 species
AUGGCCAUGGCGACGAAAGCCGCGCGCGUCCUCCGCUGCUUGCCUGCAUGGAGCGCCGCCCUCUCCGCGGCCAGGCCGUGCGUCGUCGGCAAAGCUUCGUGGCUGGCGCCCAACACAAUCCGGAGAUUUCUCACCACGAACAAGGUGCACGGCCUCUUCAUCAACUACAUCGACCACGACCGGCCACACCUCUUCGCCCGCCCCUCCUCCAACUCCGUGAUCGACGCCAUGCUUGAGUUCCUGCCCGAUGACGACAAAGACAAGCGGCGCUGGUGGUGGUCGGUCCUGGACCACAGCAACGGCCUCCUCCUGUGCAACAUGGGAACCCCGGAGCUUUGCGUGUGCAACCCGGCGACAAGGCAAUGUACAUUUAUUCCUUGGGCCUGGCGGUGGGUGGGCGGUAUAUACCUUGCCUUUGAUCCAGCCGGGUCGCCCCACUACGAGGUGCUGGUGGUCCCUGCAGUGCCGGAGCCUGAGAAGCCACCAAAGCAAGCCAUCGGGAAAGGCAACGAAGAAAAGCCGCUAGACCGACUAUUUGCGGAUGAAGAUAAUGACCCGCGCCGCUUGAUGGAAUCAGAAUGGCCACCGACUCCAUGGAGGUUGAACAUGUUUUCAUCGAGGACUUGUCAGUGGGAGGAAAGGGAUUUCAUCCGCCAGGGAGAGCCGGCGGGAACAGUUGGAGACAUGCUCGUGGAUCGAGCGGAGCCAUCUGGGAUGGGGCCACGUCAGCGCUAUGCAGUGUAUUACCAAGGAGCGCUUUACGUGCACUGCCGAGGUUUCUUUGUUUUGAGGCUUUCACUAUCAGACAGUACAUACCAAGUGAUUAAAACACCAUCAUAUGGCGAGAAUGAUGUAUUUGUAAAACCUUAUCUAGGGAGGUCCGAGAAAGGGGUGUACUUUGGAGUAACUGAAGAGUCCCAACUACGUGUUUGGAUUCUUAGUGAAUUAAGUGAACAACAGAUGGAGUGGGUCUUAAAGUAUCAACAUGACCUUGCACACUAUGCCCAACAUGUAGGAAAAUAUGGCAGACAAAUGGAUGCACAUUGGAUUGUACAUGAUGCGCUUGACACAGAUCAUGAGGAUGGUGAUGUUGCUGCUAUAACUUUGCCAAAAGAGAGAUUUGACUGGGAUUCUGACAAUGAUGACUUUUUUACAAUGAAAUUGGAUGCCGAUGAAUACCCCAAACACUUUGAUAUUCUUGGAUUACAUCCUUACAAGGACGUUGUCUAUUUGACUACUGUAUUCGAAGUGGUGGGCUAUCAUUUGAAUACCUCAAAAGUUCAGUAUCUUGGCAACUCACGCCCAAGCCCAAAAAGUUACUACUAUGGCCAUUCAAAUGGCAUAUUUGAGGCAUUUGUAUAUACUCCAUGUAUGGUGGGUGAGCUUAUUGCAGGAAAUAUUGACCAGACCUCAUCUUGA